CGCGUAGGCGGUUUUGUUAGUCAGAUGUGAAAGCCCGGGGCUCAACCCCGGAAGUGCAUUUGAAACGGCGAGACUUGAGUAUGGGAGAGGGAAGUGGAAUUCCUGGUGUAGAGGUGAAAUUCGUAGAUAUCAGGAGGAACAUCUGUGGCGAAGGCGACUUCCUGGACCAAUACUGACGCUAAUGCGCGAAGGCGUGGGUAGCAAACA
rnacentral:rRNA from 1 species